CAGGUGCAGUAUAGAGUGCUGAAUCGUGAGCUUAUUUUAUAUUACAACCUAAUCAAAAUGUUUAUAGCCAUAUAUGCUGUUCUCUUCUCUUUGGUCACAGAAGCUGUCCUGGGACUGACACUGGAGCAAAAAGACCUCUCCAUGACUAAAGAAGAGGGCAAAAGUGUGUAUAUCAGCUGCAAAGUGACUGGAUUAUCUUUAAGCAAUUAUGUCCACUGGUACCAAAAGAAAGAAGGUGAAGCUCUCACAAGGAUCCUAUAUGUCAAAAGUGGAAGCCUGGAACCUGUUCAUGAUGCUAACCAUAAUGAAGCAAAGGAGUUUGGUGUGAGGACACAGUCUGAUAAUUUUGACCUAAAGAUUGCAAACCUAAAGAAAAGUCACGCAGCAGUUUAUUACUGUGCCAGCUGGGACUCCCACAAAGUCAUCACAUAUUCACAGACUGUACAAAUACCCUGAUGUUACACAACCACAACAGGAAAUGAUAUUCACACGAAUGAUAGAAAGUGUGAAAAGAACAUUACUGUUACGAAAC